AUUGAACGCUGGCGGCAUGCUUUACACAUGCAAGUCGAACGGUAACAGCACUUCGGUGGCUGACGAGUGGCGAACGGGUGAGUAAUACAUCGGAACGUGCCUAGUAGUGGGGGAUAACUACUCGAAAGAGUGGCUAAUACCGCAUGAGAUCUAAGGAUGAAAGCAGGGGACCUUCGGGCCUUGCGCUACUAGAGCGGCUGAUGGCAGAUUAGGUAGUUGGUGGGAUAAAAGCUUACCAAGCCGACGAUCUGUAGCUGGUCUGAGAGGACGACCAGCCACACUGGGACUGAGACACGGCCCAGACUCCUACGGGAGGCAGCAGUGGGGAAUUUUGGACAAAGGGCGCAAGCCUGAUCCAGCAAUGCCGCGUGCAGGAUGAAGGCCUUCGGGUUGUAAACUGCUUUUGUACGGAACGAAAAGCCCUCUUCUAAUACAGGAGGGUCAUGACGGUACCGUAAGAAUAAGCACCGGCUAACUACGUG
rnacentral:rRNA from 1 species